CCUACGGGUGGCAGCAGUGAGGAAUAUUGGUCAAUGGCCGGAAGGCUGAACCAGCCAUGCCGCAUGAAGGGCAGGGCCCUAUGGGCGUUAAACUUCUUUUGUGCGGGAGCAAUAAUGGUCACGUGUGGCCAGACGAGAGUACCGUACGAAUAAGCAUCGGCUAACUCCGUGCCAGCAGCCGCGGUAAUACGGAGGGGGCAAGCGUUAUCCGGAUUUAUGGGGUGUAAAGGGAGCGUAGGCGGCAGUGCAAGUCUGGAGUGAAAGGCGGGGGCUCAACCGGCGGAGUGCCCUGGAAACUGUCCGGCUGGAGUGCAGGAGAGGUAAGUGGAAUGCCUAGUGUAGCGGUGAAAUGCGUAGAUAUUAGGCAGAACACCAGUGGCGAAGGCGGCUCACUGGACCGUAAUUGACGUUGAGGCUCGAAAGCGUGGGUAGCAAACAGGAUUAGAUACCCGAGUAGUC
rnacentral:rRNA from 1 species